rnacentral:rRNA from 1 species
UACGUAGGGUGCGAGCGUUGCCCGGAUUUAUUGGGCGUAAAGGGCGCGUAGGCGGCUCGGCACGUCCGUUGUGAAAUCGCCCGGCUCAACUGGGCGGGGUCAGCGGAUACGGUCGAGCUUGAGCAAGCUAGGGGGCAAUGGAAUUCCCGGUGUAGAGGUGAAAUUCGUAGAUAUCGGGAGGAACACCGGUGGCGAAGGCGGCGACCUGGGUAGAUACUGACGCUGAGGUGCGAAAGCGUGGGGAGCAAACAGG